rnacentral:lncRNA from 1 species
AUUUGGAAUAUAUAUUUACUUCAUUGCAAAAUAUUUUUGAACUCAUGUCUUUCACUCAUUUUCCCUUACUCUCUUUUCCUUGUGCAAGUGUGUUCCUCUGUUUGAUGCUAAAGAUGGAUGCUCUAAAUGAAACACUUCUCAAGUGUUGUUGCUUCCUUUUGUAGUAUUCUUACCUUUAGCGUCAAGAGACGAACACACUUGCACACAGAAAAACGGGGGAGGGGAAGAGGGGAGGGGAGGGUUCAUCUAUAUAAAGAGUAAAUAAGGAAAUUAGAAAGCACUUAUUGAGUUCCAGGGCAUGCACUUUAGUUACCAUCCUUCAGCUAAAAAAUAUUAUCACGUCAUCAUCUCUCCCUCGAUCCCUUGACUAUUUUUUUAUGCUUGAGGUGGCUGUUUUUUUUAAUCAAAUGCUUCCAAGUGUUGUGCAUCCUUUUGUACUAUCCGUGCCUUAAGCAUUAAGAGACAGAUAAAAUCACUCAUAGGUAGGAAAAGAGAGAGAAUGAAAGAGAAAAUGAGCUAGGGAACUUGCUAAUUUUUGAAGCAUUCAUUUUUUAUCUCCAUGCUUGUUCCAAUUGCAUAAUAUAAAACAACGCAUUUUACUUCAUUCCAAAAGAAUUCUCAAUGUGUUAACCUAAUAUGUCUUUCCUUUUUUCUCCCUACUCCUUUUUCCGUAUGCAAGUGUGUUGCUUUAUAUGAUGCUAAAUAUGGAUUUUCAGAAUGUCGCUUCUUUUUGUAGGAUUUCAAUCUUUUUAGCAUCGAGAAAUGAACACACUUGAGCACACAGUAUCUAAAGAGUAUAUGAGAUGGGGAACCACUUACUGAAUUUUGAAGCGUGCAUUUUAAUUUGGUUGUCCCUCUACUGCUGGUUAAAUUGUAGAUUUUCAUAUCACAUAUUAUGCUUUAGUUAAAAACUUGUUUUCUUCAUCUCAUUACUUUUCCUCUUACCCUUUUCUAUGUGAAUGUGUUUCUCUUUUUUUUAUGCUUGAGGUGGUUGCAUUGAAUCAAACAUAUUAUGCUCUAGUGCCUGCCAGGCGUUGUCUGAAUGCAUCCCACCAAAUGGAUUACCAGAGUUAUUCAAAUAUUGGAGGCUUGACGAAUGGAAUAAAUCUUCUACAAUACUUCCCUCUAUGUUAUUGGAGUUGAGAUCCACAUACGUUAGGUUGGGCAACAAUGACACUCCUCUACAAUCUCAUCUAUGGCUAGCUCCUCUUCCAACCCAGCCUUAACCCUUGCACUACUUCUCCGUUCGGCCACCCAUGUGAUGGAGAAGCUCUCCAAGAAUAAUGACCUUCUUAGCACCAGCAUAUGAAUGGAGUUCAGACUCAGCCAACCAUUGAAGUACACUACCAUUGACCUUUGACAACAUCGUAUGCUAAUGUUGCAUUUGGAGUCUUGGUUCGACCUAAAAGCUCUGUUUAUUCCAGGCUACUAUGGAGUUAUACAGGCGUUCCCCUGCC